rnacentral:rRNA from 1 species
UACGUAGGGUGCAAGCGUUGUCCGGAAUUAUUGGGCGUAAAGAGCUCGUAGGCGGUUUGUCGCGUCUGCUGUGAAAAUCCAGGGCUUAACCCUGAGCUUGCAGUGGGUACGGGCAGACUAGAGUGCGGUAGGGGAGACUGGAAUUCCUGGUGUAGCGGUGAAAUGCGCAGAUAUCAGGAGGAACACCGGUGGCGAAGGCGGGUCUCUGGGCCGUAACUGACGCU